CUUCAACCAACAUGUAACGUAAAUACGUACUUUCUAGAAUUUUCCUUUCUCAUUUCUUUUGCUGCAUUUGUGCAGUUUGCACAUUUGUGUUUUUGCAACGAUGACGCUAUGAUGUAAGAAGUGUUUGUGUGAAGUGAAAUGGUGCUGCUGAGUUAGAAUUUCGUGAAUGUUAAGAGCAGAAGCAGUGCAAUCACAGUAUCUGGAUACACAUAAAUGGAUUUUUGGUUAUUUAGGAGACCUUACAAACACCUCGUGAGGUUGAUUUUCAGCUUGCCUACAAUAUAAGACAACAGGAUUCAAAAGCAGAAAUAGCCUUUGCAUUUAGAAAAAAAGAGAUAUUGGCGAAUAGUAUUCCAAAUCUUGAUCUAAUGUUUAAACGGAGUAAUGUACUCCCUAAAGUAUUAUUAAUAUUAAAUGUUUUUGCGUUG